rnacentral:rRNA from 1 species
UACGGAGGAGGCAAGCGUUAUCCGGAAUUAUUGGGCGUAAAGCGUCCGCAGGUGGCCAUUCAAGUCUGCGGUCAAAGACUGGGGCUUAACCCUGGAAAGGCCGUGGAAACUGAAUAGCUAGAGUGCAGUAGGGGUAGAGGGAAUUCCCGGUGUAGCGGUGAAAUGCGUAGAGCUCGGGAAGAACAUCGGUGGCGAAAGCGCUCUGCUGGACUGCAACUGACACUCAGGGACGAAAGCUAGGGGAGCGAAUGGG